CAAGAAUAAUUUACACGUUGACACUCAGUACUCAACAUUCAUACUUUUUCUAAAGGUAAUAAAAUAUUAAGGCAAAGCUAGUGUUUACCAUUUUGGCUCAUCACAAAAAUCUAAAUAAUCAUCUAAGAAUCUUAAAACAAGGUCAGAAAGCAUUCCAAAUAUUAAUAAAAUAUUCAUUUUUUAAAAGGGGCGUAUUUGAGUGUAUCCAUCCUGGUUGUUGCCUUAAUUAUUUUUUUAACGACGAAAAAUGGGUUAUUAAACAUGAUCUCCACCUUACAAUAUUUUUUAUUUUUUGCAUUGCUAUUUCUGCGUUUUAAUCAAAAUUAAAUUUCUUUCUCACAAAGACACAUUUGAGAAUUUCUUUCAUCUAAAUUUCACAUUUUUAUCAAUUUUCUAAACUAUUCUAUAUAAGUAAGAUUUUCUUUUCCAAGAGUGUUUAUGAUACAAUUUAGAUCGUUGGGAAAAAAAAGGAAGUAGCAGAAAUCUUGAAUAACUGAAAAUUUUUUUCUCUUCUCACAAAGUCUUGAAAAAAAAAAGAAAAAAUUAACAAAACCUUUUCAGAUUAGCAUUCCUUUCUCUGAGAGAGCUUUCCGGAUACACAAUUCCCGAAUUUCAUGUUAUUUGAAACUUUUGAUUCACGAAUUUUUUUCGCAUCUGAAAAUUCAGUAUAGUUAAAUUAGCACGCUUUCACAUUUUUUAUUGUUUCAGGAAGUGAUGUUUUUAUGAAAAUAUUGGACAAACACUUCUAAAUGUUCAAUCGAAUCGGGAAGUGACUUUUUUUAAAAUUUGUGCAACAUGACAACACAAAACCUGUAUUAUAUUUAUGCGAUAAAAUAGGUCUAAAAAUAGACAUCGCAUUUGAUUAGGCGCCAUUGUAAUAAGAAAUUAAAUCUCUCAACCUUUAACCUUAUUUAUUAGCUGCAUAAGUUAAGAAGAGUUCUCAAAAUUCUGUCAUGGAGAAUAAGAUAAUCACAGUAUUUGUUGCGUCUUAAUGCAGAUUUUUGUGUUAGUGGAAAAAUUGUGAUUCAUGGAUGUAUAUACCUUCUACAAGAGCUACAAGAACAUGAUAUCUAAAUUCACCACUAUGGCUUUUAAUCUAAAUAAAAGUAGAACUCGUUUCAGGCAAGAACAUCCCUUAAAAACCUUAUUAGAGAAUUGUUGUUUCUAAAUGCGAAAAAAAUCAGAAUGGUUUAUUGCUUUUUGACUGUUUAAAUCUCUUUUGCAUUUAAACCUUCACGACAUGACGACAGCUUUUUCACGACAAAAGGUGAAUGAUUUAAAAUGCUGAAUGGCAACCUUGUCUCCAGGUCUUGUAAGGCUUUAAUUCGAAUGGCUUUAACAAAUGACCUGGCCCUGACUAGUCACAAGAAAACAAAAUGUCCACGCAUAUCGGAAGGAUGUUUUUAUCCUGUCGAGUUACAAUUUUCGCGCCAAAUACUAUAAUGCAAUUUUUUAGAAGCAGGAGUAAAAUCUUUUUCUUCUUCUGCAUAUUUCUGUUGGCCGGUAAAAACGAAAUUUAAAUUCUCACACCUGAUUUGGAAACCUUCAUGAUGGUAAAAUACUCUUUAAAUAAUUUAUUUAUUUCUCUGUUUACGUUUUAUAUGAAAAAUAAUGCUUGCUUUUAAUUAUAAUUUCUAUAUAACAGACCAUCACCAAGCCAAAUACUACACUUUUAAUAACAAAGCAGCAACCACCAUUUUUAAAGUUCUCAAAGUUUGAUUUUUGUCGCUACAAAAUUAUGGCUGUUAAUACAACUCGUUACACACAUGUUAAUUAUGUGAGUUUUCAUGUAAAACAAGACAGCUUUUUCAAAAUCUUAGCUCUAAUAAUUUUUUUCUAUUUCUAAAUUUACGCGAUAUUUUUUAAGCAAAAUUAAAACAAACGGUAUUAUGCAUGCAAAUUGACCGUCUAAUUCAACUUGUUAAAGUCCUUCCUAAUGUAGAUUUAUUUUAAGAAAGGCAGAUCAUGUUUUUUAACUCCUUAAUUUUAUUUUUCUGCUUGUAUAGUUUGUUAUCCAAAUUGCUUUUGAAGGCAAAUAUACACAAAUAAUGAAAUGCAAAUUUUUGAAACUUUGUUCGAAUUUUUAAACAUUUGCCAUGCACAAGAGCAUUAGCUACUUCGCCAUUUACAUCUACUAUCUUUAAUAUUUCUGAUGAACUAUCUACUUUACUCAGACAUUCUGCAACCUUUUUGUAUUGCCUGCCAUUCCCUAAACGUGUGAUCCCGGUUACCAUGUUGGACAGGCUAUAUCCAUAAAUCUUGUGACUUUUCGACUCUUUUCUAACAGUAAACUUAAUUUUUUAUAAAAUCAAGUGGUUUUAGAAGCUUUUUACACUGCGUGACAAGGUGGCGCAGAAGAACUAUUAAAGUACUUACUUUUAUAAAUAAAAGGGAAAGGAAAGUUAAACCUUCUUUUGAUUAAUGUCUUUUUUACAUUUUAAUAUUUUUCAUAAAUUUUUCAUUGUUUAAACUCAACGUUUGACCACUGAAAAUACAAUCUAAUUCUUUUUCUUACAAGCCUUUACUUUAUGACAUGUUGGAACCACGGAAUGAAACAAAUGCGUGUCUUUUUUGUGUUUAGAUUUACAUUGUUUAAACUCAAUAAACGUUUGACCACUUAUAAUACAAUCUAAUUCUUUUUCAUACAAGUCUUUAUUUUAUUACAUGCUGGAACCACGGAAUGAAACCAAUGUGUGCCGUUAUUGUCUUAAGUCUUUAUUUUGUGACACUUGGAAUCAAGGAGUGAAACCGACAUGCAACAUUAUUGUCCAUGUAAAUUUAAAACAAUUUUUUUCAGUGAGCGCGUUUCAUCAGUGUAUUUUUUAUAUCAAUUAUACAUUCUUUUAUCUGCCUACGAUCUGUUAUUGUUCCUUUUGAUCUUUUUCUGUCAUGUUGGUCAGAUUUUGUUACUGCUCGGAAAAAAUAGUUUAUGUACUCGACUACCAUUCUUCAGGAUUAGGACUUUCUUUUAUAACUUUGUACUGCAGACUAAUUACUUCUACUUAAUUCUAUUUUAUUCUCUUUGUAUUAGCAAGAUUUUAUGUUGUGAAAAUUAUUCAAACGGUACCAAUUUCGCUGGAAAUGUGUUAGCAUAUUCAUAUGCAUCGUAAGAAAGAAAACCAAAAAUUUAACAGGUUUUAGAUCCAUUCAAGAGAAAGAAAACAUAGAUUGUAAUUGGCGUUGUGAUCAAUUUGUUCAAAAACUACAUUACUUAACUCUACUUAACGCAAAUUACUUAACUUUGGUUUAUUUCUUUAUACUUCUAUUGUUAUCUGAAAACACCCUAUCCUCAAUUUUCUGCCUGUGCAAGAUUCUGCUUUGAAAGUAAUAAUGAUUAAUGUUUCAUCAAUUCAGUCUGGCAAAUGUUUAAUUGUGAAAUAGUUAUUUUACAAAGUCCUUAUUAGUGUAUAUUUGCCUUUGGUGUUUUUACUUUUCUACACAUAAGGUAAAACUUUUCCUGCCUGAUCUUUUUAUUUCCAGGACUUCUUGUUUUUGAAUUACGUUGUCCUUUUGAAGUUUAUUAUCCUUUUUCUCUUUUUUUUUUCUUUUUAAUAAUUUUUGUUUUUAAUUCUUAGAGAAAAUCAUAAAAAGUUAAUGUUGCGUUUAGAAUGAAAAAAGAACUAUUUACCGAUACUUCAGGAAUUCUAAUUUCGCAUGUCAGUGUAGGAUUUUCAUAGUAUAUAAAUUGCCAGAAGCUUUUGCUCCUUCUCAUAUCAAAAUGAUGUUUUUAACGUUUAGAAGUGUGAAAUCUUACUGAUGAAAACAAUAAUUAAAAAAAUGAGUUAGUCGUAAUCUGUCUUAAGAAGAGGCGGCGUAUUAUUUUUUAAUGACAUCUUCAAAUAUAAUUUAGAUUUCCAUGCAGAAAGUUUGGGAAUUGUAAUUCUGGCGGAAAUAAAAUUUUCACGAAAUAGAACGAUCUGAUUGGUUUACUAGUUUAAUUGAUCUCGAUUCUACUUUCCCCGGAUCAGAACAGGAAGGAGAAUUAGCGUAGUGUAAACAUUUUAAACAUGAAAAACUUUACCGUUUCUGUCUUUAGUGGAAAAAUACCUUUUACUGAUAAGGCUAUACUUGUUUGGAAAUUUAAAAUGUUUUUUUCUAAAAAAUUUGUCACUCUGAUCAAAAAAACAUACAGACACGAUUUUUUUUGUUAUCACCUACCGGUUUUUACGACAAAGACCAAACAAAAAAUAUAAUCCUACGCUAAUUAGAAAACAAGGUUAACUUUUAAAAGUAUACCCACAACAGAACACAAAAUAUUGAUAUCCGUUUUUGAGCAUUAGAUAAAUCUUGAAAAUAAAAUCAAAAAUUUCGUAGUUGUAAAAUGAAGCUAUAAUGUAGAAUUGGGUAAAAAUUAAAGUAAAUAAAGUUCAAGUAAAUUAAAUGCGCUGCUUAUGUUUUUUUCCCACUGUAAAAUUUACCAAAAAAAUAACCUUGUUUUCAAUUUGAUGCGAUAAAUUUUUUUUGUUGAAUCUUACAAAACUAACAUUUCACUCAUAAUUUAUUGAGCAAAUAUCAUAUUAUGAUUGAAAAAAAAUUACUAAAACAUUCAUGUCAAUAAAAGAACCAAUAGUUUUUUAAGUAAGCAUAAUAUAACUUUUAAAGUGAUAUAUGGUUCAAAGAAAGUAUUGACAUUAUUAUUUAAAAUAUUCCCUAAUUUUGGGAUAAUGAGAGUGAUGAUUCUUAAAAAACAAAAUGUACCUAUACACUUUUUUCUACAAACCAAAUAUCGUGAAUCACUCUAUAGCUCCAAAAUGUUUAACCCACGUGUUAAGCAUGCUCAGAAUUUUUUCUGUUCCUGUCUUGAGAUGGAAAAUAGUUCUUACUGACUGAGGCCAUAUUUGCGUCAAAAAUUGACAUAAUAUUUUUGAAAAAUAUGCUCAAAAUGAUCACUUGUUCGAAAAACAGAAAGGUUUUGUUUUUUACAACAUUUGUUAUUCUGAUCAAAAAGGAAUAAUGGACACAAUCGUAAUUUUUUUAUCACCUAUUGGUUUUUAGGACAAAGCCAAACAAAAAGUAUAUUCCUUCGCUAAUUAGAAAACAGGACUAACGUUUUAAAAAAUCUACGUACAACAAAACACAAAAUAUUGAUAUCCGUUCCCUUUUUUAAAUAUUUCUAGGUGAAUCUGUAACCGAAAGUAAAAUUAGAAAUUGUAAAAUAAAGCUAAAAGCUGGUAAGAUCUUGGGUACAAUUAGGUAAAAAAAUGAUGUAAAUAAUAUCUGCAGUUGUUCGUUUUGUUCUGGUAUUGUUUUCAGUUUGAUGAAGUAAACAUAUUUCUUUACUAUUGUCGAGACUCGUGACUCAAAACCAAUAUUACACUCCUAAUUUACUGAGCAAUUCUCACAUUAUUAUUGAAAAAAUUACCAAAACAUUUAUUCCAAUUAAAGAACCAAUAUAUGCAUAAUAUGACUAAUAUAUAUGCAUAACACUAUCUUCAAAAUAUUCCUGAAAUUUUUGUUAUUGAGACUGUAUUUUUUAUCUUAAAACCAGAUAUCGUGCAUCAUUCUAUAGCUUUGUAAUUAUUUGUGUUCUAAUGAUGGCAAAAUUCAAUUAAAAUUAGCGAGAUUAGUUAAAACAAAUCGCCGUUUGUGUAAGUUUUAUUUAAAACUAAAUAAAUUUAUCGCAUAUCAUAACUUCCUUUCUGCCUUUAAAACCAUAUAUUUAUAUGCCACAAAAAAGCCUACAAUCCACUAUUCUUUAAAACUUAUAAUUGAGAAAAGUAUCGGUAAAUAGAUUGCUUAAAAAAACCUUUUAGCUGGAGACUUUGACCAUCAAUGUAAAAAAACAAGAAGUUCUGUGAAAAAUAUGCAAGGGUAGCAUACUAACUAUGUGUAUAAAAUGACAGAGCUGAUCAUUUUGCAGCAAUAUAUGUGCGUUCUCUGUUUUCAGCAAAUAAUUUUCGUAGAAAGAAAUGUUAGCAUGACGCUUAACAGGAACGUAAAAGUUUUGACAUGUUGAGCAAAAGCAUUGCUGCAGUAACUGUACACAAGUGAUAUCUGUCUGCAUUCAUCUCUUCGGUGCAUUGCAUUAUUUUCUUCCUACAAGACUAAUUGGGUUAAGCUGGGCAUUUGUGCUUCCAAUACAGAACUGUGUGUAAAGAUGUGCUGCUCCCAAUGCUAAAUAAUAAUAAAAAAGGCAUUUUUAAAACGUUCGGUCAAAAAGGAAAACAGUUUUAAAGUAUAAGCCACUACUGUCUAUUGUGGGACGGCUUUGUUUUAAUAUCCCCAUGUUUUAUGUUUGUGUUUUACGUUAAGUUCAAUGCAAUGACGGAUUCAGGAAUUGUAGAAAAAUUCAGAAAGUAGUUAGUUAUUAUAAAAUCACAACUUAGCAAUGUCAACAACCUGCAGCCUUUUUAAAAUCAAGUUAAUACUUUAAUUCAAAUGUGUUUCACAUGCAGUCUCAUAUACAUCUCACAAAGACAUUAGGGACAUUUUUUUAAUGCAUUGAUUUAUACUAUCUCCACGAAAACUAUGAUCAUUAAAUUUAAAAUACCCAAAAAGAGAAAAAAGGAACAAUGCGGCCUAAGGUUAAACUUUUUUUUAUCAUUAUUACAUUUAAUUUUAACUUUUAUAUAUAAUAUUGUAAUCUAUCUGAUCUUAUUACCCAUACUUUUAAAUUUUAUUAUUUUACUAUUUAUGUCUUUUUAUCAUUAUUACAUUUAAUUUUAACUUUUAUACAUAUUAUCUGAUCUUAUUACCCAUAAUUUUAAGUUUUAUUAGUUCACUAUUUAUAUCUUUUUUUAUCAUUAUUAUUUUAAAUAGCAACUUUUAUAUAUAAUAUUUUAAUUUCAUUUUAUAUUUUAUUAUUUUAUUUUAUAUAAUAAUUUUUACUUUAUGUUAUAUUUUAUAAUUUUAUAUUGUCUUUUUAUCAUUAUGAUUUUAAAUUUUAACUCUAAAUCUAAUAUGUGAAUAAAUUGAACCAAACAAUACUAAAUUACCGCAAGAGUUUUUAGAAGAUUUUGAAUCCGUCACUGUGUCCCUCAUUUUUUUUGCCAAUACCUCUUCCCUUUGUACCCUGGCUUCCCCAAUGAUGAAGAUGAUAGCUACAGAUACACGUCUCCACAUGCUCUCUGAAAUCCUCUAAUCACUGUGUCUUCAGCAAAUAUGUGAUUCUGGUGAUUGUUCAAGCUACGUCCUACUGUUCACGCAUGGGUGCUGCUGUUAAUAUCAGAAUAUAAUUAAAUUUUAGACCUUUUUUUCAUAAUUAUUUUAAUGUCUAAUAUUUUAAGAUUUUGUCUUUUAAAUUUUUUUUUAUGGUAUUUUAACAUUUUAUCUUUUAAAUAUUUUUUAUGCAAUUUUAUAUUUUAUCUUUUUUAAAUAUAUUUAAAUGCAAUUUUAACAUUAUAACUUUUAAAUAAACUAAAGGUAUUCAGUCUAAGAAAUAAGUUUUGCAGUGAUAAUAGUAAAUACAUUAACAUUUAUUAACAAUACGCAACAAUGAAGCAUCCGCAACAAACAAAUUUGCUCAUUAUCGGCCACUUACCUCCUCCCGGUUUGCUGUACUCCUCUGCAAGAUUGCUCGCACAAUAACACUGCACCACCUCCACCUCUGCACCACAUCCACCUCUUCUCGGUUCCAAGGCAUUGAUGAUUCCAUUCCUCCUAAUUGCUUCUACAAUAUAUUAUCCGGUAAAAAUCAUCUUCAAAACAGAAACAAAACAAAACAAAAAAGGACCAGGAGAAAUAUUCUACAUCUGAUGUGCUGCCAUGAACAUAUAUUUAAAAGAUGUACAAGUUUGCGGUUGGUUUAUGGACUCAACAAAUUUAAUAUAAGAUCGUGUUGAAAUUACCUGCUUUGAAUUGUUGCUACACGUUAUAUCAUGCACAUAAAAGAUUGCCCACUAAUAACUUCGUUUUGGGACAUAGCAGUUAACAUGUAUGACAUCGUAGAAUUCGUCAUACACCUUGCAGACCGAAGAAAUACUUUGAUUCUUUUUGAGAACAUUACAUUAACAGUACCUGAAAUCUGACGGUUCAGUGAUAGUUGGUAAACUUGUGCCGAACCUUCGCCAUCAUGAUGGAAGACUGUUGUAUAAACUGCUGAAGGGUCAUAUGCAACUAAAGUUGCAACUGAAGAAGCUAUGUUGCGUAGAAAGAAAAUAGAAGUAACUACAUCGCAAUGCAGAUUGUACUAGUCUUUGACAAAAGGUGGAAGUUUCUUUCAAAGAAUAACAAGCCGCCAAAGAACUUCUGCAUUCUUUCCUUUCAGGGAUGAGAAGUGAUAGAAAAGUAAUGGAUUUUAGCUGUACUGAAACAAACAGUUGUGAAUUGCAAAGCAUGCGGAUUGGUGAAAUAUACCAUGCUUGGGAUCUGGUGUGUUACCUGGAGUUAGCAUCCCUUGCCUGUUGCAAGACACCAGUUAUAUGUAUUGGCACUAUCCGCAAUAACCAAUAAUUUUUGUUCAACGUAUACAAUAAUUCAAAUGUUAUAUUUAAUGAAUUUCUUUCUGGAGCUUUUCCGUUAUUACCAUUCUCGAUUGUGGACACAAAUCUCACCAUAAAUGAUGUUAUUGCACUUCAUCAUGUGUUGUACAUUACGUAAAAGGCUCUUGCUUUAAUUUUAUCUCAUAAAAUAACAUUCUAUGAGUUGCUAUUGUUGUGGUUAAACAUUCACUUUCAAAAUGCACAGAUUAAAUCGAUGCCUUACUGCACCAUUCCACAUGAAAUUCAAUUGACAAUUUAUUGGGUUCUAUAGUGAAGCUGUGGCUAUGCUUUCAUGUUUUUGUAGUUUGUGUGAGAGCAUUGAUGUACUUGCAGUACUCCUACUUAUAACAGUAUCAAUUACCAAUUAAUUGUGGUACCAGAAUAUAAAUAGACGUCUUGGGCCACAUUUAAUGCAGUGAUCAGUACGGCACAGCUAUGUCGAAAAUGUCUCAUGUUUUAUUCAUUGUCUCUCAAAGAGGUUCUGAUGGACAUCACAGAAGUGAGAAAACAACUGCACUUUCGCAAUCUGACAGCACUGGUUAAAUGCUGUUGGUGGAAAAACAUGCCGCGUGAAUGAAAUCUCCUGCGGAGUUUGAUCAAUUACUUAGCAGUUAUAUUUAGUGCUAAGGAAAUGUAAUUAUGAUGAAAGUUGUUUGUUAUGACAACUUAUUGUAAUAUUGUUUUAUAAUAACAUAUUAAUGAAGUUGCUUUU